rnacentral:rRNA from 1 species
AUUGAACGCUGGCGGCAGGCUUAACACAUGCAAGUCGAGCGGGGUGAUGGUGCUUGCACUAUCACUUAGCGGCGGACGGGUGAGUAAUGCUUAGGAAUCCGCCUAUUAGUGGGGGACAACAUCUCGAAAGGGAUGCUAAUACCGCAUACGUCCUACGGGAGAAAGCAGGGGAUCACCUGUGACCUUGCGCUAAUAGAUGAGCCUAAGUCGGAUUAGCUAGUUGGUGGGGUAAAGGCCUACCAAGGCGACGAUCUGUAGCGGGUCUGAGAGGAUGAUCCGCCACACUGGGACUGGGACACGGCCCAGACUCCUACGGGAGGCAGCAGUGGGGAAUAUUGGACAAUGGGGGUAACCCUGAUCCAGCCAUGCCGCGUGUGUGAAGAAGGCCUUAUGGUUGUAAAGCACUUUAAGCGAGGAGGAGGCUCUUUUGGUUAAUACCCAAGAUGAGUGGACGUUACUCGCAGAAUAAGCACCGGCUAACUCUGUGCCAGCCGCCGCGGUAA